AGGACGAACGCUGGCGGCGUGCUUAACACAUGCAAGUCGAGCGGAAAGGCCCUUCGGGGUACUCGAGCGGCGAACGGGUGAGUAACACGUGAGUAAUCUGCCCCUAGCUCUGGGAUAGCUCCGGGAAACCGGGAUUAAUACCGGAUACGAUCACCUUAGACAUCUUUUGUGGUGGAAAGAAUUUCGGCUAGGGAUGAGCUCGCGGCCUAUCAGCUUGUUGGUGGGGUAACGGCCUACCAAGGCGACGACGGGUAGCCGGCCUGAGAGGGCGACCGGCCACGACUCGGGACUGAGACACGGCCCAGACUCCUACGGGAGGCAGCAGUGGGGAAUAUUGCGCAAUGGGCGAAAGCCUGACGCAGCGACGCCGCGUGGGGGAUGAAGGCCUUCGGGUUGUAAACCCUUUCAGCAGGGACGAAGCGAAAGUGACGGUACCUGCAGAAGAAGCGCCGGCUAACGUACGUGUCAGCAGCCGC
rnacentral:rRNA from 1 species